UGCGGGGGUUCCCGAGUGGCCAAAGGGGCAGGACUUAAGAUCCUGUGUUGUAGGACUUCGAGGGUUCGAACCCCUCCCCCCGCAU
rnacentral:tRNA from 1 species